AAGUUCUGUAAAAUUACACUUUCUGUCAAAGUCCACAUAGUCAAACACACAAGUGUCGUCGUGAAGGAUUCUUGGACAUUCACAUUAUUUAGCUUCAUCAUGACUGAACACCUGCUGUUAGUCGUCCUCAUGUGUUCCUUUACGGAGAUGAAAGCACAAGACCAAAAGUAAACGUCACUGCUUUGCAGGGUGGUUAUGAUGAAACCUACAGUAUCGUCACCUAUGAAUGCAACACUGAGUGACAACAGCAGCACCUCCGAGAAGCUACAUCAGCCCUGAGAGAGACCGUGUACAGCCCUCUAAAGUCAAUUUGAAAUUCAAACGUUGUUUUUCUUGCAUCUUUUUCUUUCUUAUGUACAAGUUAAUUGAUCUUAACAGUAUUUACAUCAUUACCCACAAGAGCAGACGUUAGAAUGGUGAUAUGGCUCAGUUGAACUUUAUUGAAUUGAUAGUUUGGUCAGAACAUAACAUGUAUCAAUGCUUUGAAUAAUAAAAUCCAUGUACACA